rfam:Oryza glumipatula chromosome 1, whole genome shotgun sequence.
AAUAAGUGCAGUUUUGCACUAUUCAUGUCCAACGUUUGACCGUUCGUCUUAUUUGAAAAUUUUUUGUGAUUAAUAUUUUUAUUGUUAUUAGAUGAUAAAACAUGAAUAAUACUUUAUGGGUGACUAUUUAUUUUUAGUUUUUUUUCAUAAAUUUUUCAAAUAAGACGAACGGUCAAACGUUGGACAUGGAUCUCCACGACUGCACUUAUU